AUGGCCCUCACAUCGUUUCAUUUCUCUUGCAAUUUGUGCGCCCUCUAUAAAAUUGUGAUGGGAUUUAACAGUUAAGUAAAUGAAUUGAGCAAAUUUUUUUUAUUAGCAGAAAUAGGUAAACAGAAGCAUUUAAAUGCUUAGUUUGUCUGUUUUGUUUCGUUUACGUUUAAGGUCCCGGGAAUUUUAAAAUUUGUGUAUGUGAGAAACGAAUUGUGAAUAAUUGCUUUUAAAUCAGUUAAAAAUAAUUCUGCAUGGUACUUUAUUGCUAAUUUUCUUAUUAAUGUAAAAACUGUUGUUUUAUAAGAAAGUUAUAACUUUAGUCUCUUUGUCUUUAUUUUGUUCCAAGUAAAUACGAAAUGAGAGAAACAUAAAUGUUACAUGAGGCAUAGCUAUCAUUUUGAAAACAUUAUUUUUAAUCUUUGUGGUAAUCAGUGUUCGAUAAUUCUCACAAUUAUUGCUUGUCCUGCUGAGCAUGUUAGUCGUCAAAGUGUAUGCCGAAUUGCUUCUUCUAAUGCCUGCUUCUGUUCAGUUUUCUUUCUUUUCUUUAUUGUGGGGCAUCUGAAAUAGAGUAGUUGGGAACUUCAUCAAAAAUGCACAGUAGUAGGUAUAAACAGAGACUAGAAAAUCUGCAAUUCAGUUUGCUCUCUGCAAAAAUAAAACUUUUUGAGAAUUGGCACAUUGAUGAUAAAGUGGGUGACAAUUGAAUCUGUCAUUUCAUGCAAUGCUAUAUAAAAAUGAUUUGACCUGAGGUUUCAGGCUUUGCCAGAUCAAUCAGCGUUUAAUAAAGUCAAUGUUGAAAAUUUUUAUUCACAUAUAGCAUAAGUCUUUCAAAAAUACAAACUCAAACUCUAAAGAAUAAUUAGCUCAGGUAAGAGCUAUUUUAUAACUGCAAAAAAAAAUGAAGCAAGUUGGCAAAGUCACAUUUGGCAAGAACGGUAACAAUGUAAUGUAGUAAUAUUUGUUAUUUUAUUAAUGUGCAUCAUACCACACCUGGAUUUUAUUUGCCAUUGCUGCAAGAAACAAUUACCUGAUCGAUGGAACUACUUUUUGAAGAACUAUUGCAGAAUUUUUUUUAGAGUAAUAUAAAAUUGUCUUUGUCUAUAAUCGAUCAGAAAACUAUUUGUUCAUAAAUUUUAAAUAUUUUGAUUUUAAUUUUUUCAACUUGAAUAUGUACAUUCUAUUUUGAAAUAAAAUCUCUAAAAUAAUUGCGUCUGAUAAUAUGAAGUCUUAAAAUAACUGACAUUCCUUAUACAGGUGCUCUAAUUCUACUAAUCUUGUUGAAUUAAAUGUGCCUCAUUAGACCCGCAGCAAGUUCAAUAGACCCCAACCAAAGGAAUAAAUGAUACAGUUGUGUGUAAAUAUUAUUAUAUUAAAAAAAGCAAAAUGUUAUCUCCUUUAAUUUUCCUUUAAAAGCCAAUAUAUCUCUUGUUAUAUAUAUAUAUAAUUGUACUGAAAUUUAUUCAUUUAAAUUUUAAAUAUUUAUUUCUUUAAAUAUUGCCCCAAUAUCUCCCACUUUACUAUUCAAAUAUUUUUGGAUCAUUAAAUUUAAUCAACGAU